rnacentral:lncRNA from 1 species
AUAAAUCCUGCUGGGUUCAAGCACAGUUUUCGAUUAACAAACACAGAUGGGGAUGUACUGGGUACAGAUUCUAUCUAGGAGAAACGCUUCAAUACAGACAUUGGGAAGGGAGACUGCUGUCACAGGUCUAUGGUUAUGUCAGUAACAAGAUUUUUAUUUUUUGUUUUCCUCGUUUGGAUUUGGCAGAAGGGCUCCUUGAUUCUGCUUGGCCAGAUCACACAGAUCUGCAGGUUUCCACCCUGAUUCUUUAGGUCCAAUGUAGAGAAGAAGUCAAAGCUGAUGCAAGAAAAGGGGGCAGAAGAGUGAAAUAGCAGAGACUUUUGGCAAGACACACUCAAUGAACACUGCAGUCUUCCUGGAAGCAAGUCCAGGUCCCACAGUCAGUGAGCGCCACACUGGCCACCUGGACUGGAGUGUUUUAGCCAUCAGGCUGAGCUCCAGAGGAUGGACAGCAAACAGGACAGCAUUGGCAGGAAUUUGAGAUGCAGCUUCCUGUGUCUGCAAAGCUCAGGAUAACAGAAGGUGCUUUGGCUGCAGUGGCAACUAUAGCCAAAAUGACUGGGAAAUGCCGGAAGAAAACUAAGUCCUUCUUUUUCUCGCCAUCCCCGCAAGUCCUGCACAUAGCUGCCCUACUUGACUCGGUUGCCUGAGCUUCAUUCCUGGCAGGCCCAGGAAUUUGAGGACUGUCUCCUUAAUGUGGCACCACAACAGGGACGAAGUCUAAGCCUGGGAUGCUCAUGACUUGUCCUAUACAAAAUACACAUUUUUCUUGCCUGGUAGAGGUUUAGGCCAAAUAAGCAAACCAGCAGGAGAGUGCAAAGACAAAGAAAUAAAGAUGUGGCUUCACUCCCAGAGCCAAGGACAGAUGAUCUGUGCAGAUGACAGCUCCAAGGACCAAGACCACUUCCCAGAGAGACCUCUUGAAUUCUACAUGCCAUAAUGAGUCUUCAAAUGGAAUCUGAAAUGCUGUUUUUGUACAUUUGAACAUCAGCCAUCCUGAAGAAAAUCCCAGCACAACUCCAAGAUAAAAAUGACAAGCCCUUUGGUCCUCUUGGCAGUAGGCUCACAAAGUAACUUGAAGUGAAAAGGCACUUAAAAAGUAUACAAGACUGUCUUUUUUAAUAUUAACCUCAACAUGAAUAUUGAAGCUCUCUUUAAUCUUCUCAAUAGCCUUUAAGUUUAGAUGGGACUGGAGGUUGCCACAAUCCAGAGUCCCUUUCUGUUCUUCAUCCUUUCCUAAUUUCCAUGCUUCUCAUCUGUGCUGAAAACCAGCCACCUCUCAUCUCCAUCCCAGGCAAAGAGCAAAGCAGAGGAGGCAGACUUGGUCAUGCCCAGAUAUGCUGUCAGCAACUAAUUAACAUCAUGCAGGCUGAAGACUUUUCAUUUCCUGUCUACAGAUGGGGAAGCAAUGCCCUGGAAGGGUCUCUCUAUAUGGCUGUAUCAGCUGCUCUGUAAAACAGACUUGACAACUAUAACUAUCUGUUUUUCACAGUGGUAAUAACACUGGGUAGGGUUGCCAUCCUUGCCCUCAGCAUGCACACACCCAGAGUCAGGCACCACCUUAGCAGGAUGCCCAUAUUUUUCUGUAUGCUAGGAAGUACUGAUGAAUAAUUUAUUCCUGCACAAAGCCCAUGGCAGAGUGGCUUGGGGGUGUUCAUCUGGGUAGCAUUCUUUCUUUAAACCUGCCUUAAAGGCCCUUCACUCCGACAUAUUGAUUGAAUCCUUCCUAUACAUUCCUUUGCCUGCCCAGAUAAAGGCCCUUUGCCAAGAACUAUUAUCUUAUUUUUAAGAUUGUUUACAAAACUACAUGUGCAAAUUAGUGAUUUGUCCAAGUAAGUAUUGUCAAAAGCAGGGUUUACUUUUCCAAAUAAUUAUAUCUGGUUUUACUUCACAUGCCUCUUACUAUUUUUGAAUAUGUU